AUAAGUGUGUUUAACGGCAUAUAUAAACAUUUCUGUUAGAUAAUAAGCACCAAAAUAAAAAAUUUCCGGUCAACUUUGCAAGAUAAAACACUACUAAAGAAUACCGCAUUAUUAAGAAAAUAAUUUUAAUACAAUGCAGUAACACGUUAUAAAAAGCCGCAUUUAUCUAAAUAUAAAGCAUCUAUUGUAUCAAAAGUAAAAAAUAGGGGUACAUAUUGCAAGCAACUGCUACACUCUCUUUCGGGAUUAUAUUCGGUCGCAAUAAUACAGGAUGCAAUUUAGAUAAAUACUCAACUCCCUCUUCCGCAGCCAAUUUAGUUUGCGGUAAUAUGAACAAAACUUUUGCCCACUCUUACUCUUUCUGAGGCGUCCAUUUUCGCCCGCAAUAUAUAAGGCAAUUUAAAGAUGUAUGCAUCUCAUUGCCCGUCGCCAUUUUUAAACUGUGUGUCAGAGCAAUAGCUAGGCCACUCCUACUUACUUCAAGGCAGCCGCCAUUUCAGUCUGAAAAUUAGUAGGAUGCUUUUUAAAGCAUUCCUCUUUUCGGGGACCGUUUUGCGUUGCGCAAUUGAGGGUGAGAGCAAUAGCUUUCCAUUUGCGGUCACAGCUUAUACAAGUGGUGCCAAUAAAAACUUCUCAUAUAAAAGUAGAAUGAUGUCAAAAUACACAAAUUAUUUAAUAGCGCAGUGUUGUCAGAAUACGCAUUUGGUGAAUAGCACAGUGUUGCCGCAUCAUCAUAAAUAUGAUGAAACGAGUCCGUGCCGACGAGACGGCCACCAGAGCUGGCAAUUAAAACACAGAAGGAGUGUUCCUGUGAGGUGGCGGGAUAAGAAUACUACCUCAGCGUUCCCGGCUUGUCGUAAAAGGCGACUAAAGGGUGGAAAGGAGGAGCGCUACAUGGCCAAUGCAUCAGGAAGGGAGAGCGACCUGGCUUCACAUCCUGCUCAUCGAAGUCUUACCUUGACUGGCAGUUCCGUGGUCACUCUAAUAUGGGGUCCAAAGUGGAUUUGGGCACUACAUGCGCGACCGUCGAUCCUUGAUUAGUGUGGCCGAUGCAAUAGGUGCGCGAAAUAGUAAGUAAUAUUGAUAUUACGUCUCCAUGUGCUAUUAUUGCACAUGCUUUUUUUUUCGCUCGUAACCGCACUGUUCUUUUGGUUUAACAUUUUUCUUCUUGUUUCGCUGGCCGCCAUUUUCCGUUGCGGCCCUUUAGGAAAAAAAAGACAUGUUGUUUCUUUUGCAACCAUUUUCGUUUUUAAAAUGGAAGAAAGAAACUAUAAAAAUUAAUGUUAUUUAUAUCCUUAAAAAAUAUGUCCCUUUCCCACAAUGCCUCCAAGUAAGUCAGUUUGUGCAUGGCCUACGCUUGCCGAAAUGUCCGCAUUUGCGUUCCGUGUUUUCGCAUUAUGGACAUUGGCUGCAUUCUCAUGUGGCAGCUGAAAUCUCCAAAUCAAAGCAAUGUAAACUUUCCUGCUGUAACGCACAAUUUUGUAGACAUGAUGACGAAACUCCUGGAAUAAGAUAUAAAGAAAAACCCAAAAAAGAAAUAAAAUCAAUGACAAAAGGAGCGGAAAUAGCAAACUAAAGGAAGUAAGCAGACGGUUAACACGGCCGCACUAGUGGGCCGGGUCAUGGCAAACAAAUUGUGAAUGUGGAUCAGGUUGGGUCCGCCUAUCAACAUCAGCAACGGCAUUCCUAGUGCCCCCCAGAAACAGAAGCAAUACAGCAGCGGAAGCUCCAUCUACAUCCAACGAUCUGUCGGCCCAACCACGCCCUCCGAGUCGGCGCAACGACGACACCAGCAGCUGUUAAGUCCCCCUAGUCUCUAAGUUUACGCACUGUCGCCGCCAAUAUCUGUUUUUUACAUGUAGAAAUUUAAAAAUGUUUUAUUUGAUAAAGUUAGAUCCAUAACAUGAUUUCUUGCCAUAGUCCGACCGAAUUUGCUUCACCAUAGUAUGACCAGAAUAACCGGCAAGCUUUUGGCAUACGUGCAGUUUGCUCUUCUGGACGGCUGGCUCUUCUUGUCGAUAUUGGAUCGUCUGUUUAGUUUGUCUGCUGUAUGAUUGUCUGAUGCCCACAAACCGUUCCAAAUUACCACGCACACACUUUUAAAUUUUUUUUCGUUUUUACAUUUUUUGUAUCUGAAUUUAUAUCAAUAUGCUGAAAAAAGUAGAAAUUUCUUGUAAGCACUCCCACUAUAUGAGUACCGGGAUUGUGAUGGUCGAGGAACUAUCUUUUGCUUUUUUCUUAUAUUUAUUUGUGAUAUACCUAUCAAAAUCGUCCGGUGAAUUAAUUUAAAAAGCUGGUUUAAUAUAAUAAUAUUAAUAUUUUUAAAACAAUACGCGUUUUUUAUUUUUCAUCUAUUAACAGAUAAUAAGUAAUUUAAUUUUUGAAUAUAAAUUAAGUGUUACUCCUUUAAUAAUAUGGGAAUACUAAAUAAAAAAUGUAACAAUUUGUAAUAUGAAAGAACAAAACAAACUGCUUAUUAGUGUUUGAAGCUUAUGAUUUCAGUUUAGAAGUAUAUAUAAAUAUCUUUCAAAAAUGAAAUAAAUAUUAUAUUAUAUUUAUAUGUCUUUAGAUAAUGUUUUCACCGUUGAAGUACAUAAAGACAUAUCCUUCUAAAAUUAAAUAAUAAAUGUAAUAUGUUUAUUUUUAUUUAUAUGUUUAGUUAGAUUAAGGUAGUAAUAAAUAGUUACAUUUAAAAAGAACAUUGGGGUAUAUUUUUUAUUAAAUAUCAAGAAGCAAGGGGCAUAUAGCUGUAUAAGCUUGCCAUAUUAAUGUGCCUAGGUAGUUAUUAUUAUUUCCGCUGUUAAUAACUUAUUUAUAAGGGAAUAAAAUACGUUUAAGGAAGGUGUAAUCGCAUGUCAUUAUUGGCAUAUUAAAUUUUUAAAAUAUAAAACAAUAAUAGUUGAAUAAAGAGAGAAAUUAAAGAAA